CCGGUGCGUGCAGCGCCCCCUGCCGGCAGGCCUGGCGCGGCAACGGAGCGCCUGGCGCGGGGCCGACCCUGGCGGCCUUCCUGGCGGCGACGGUCUCGCCAUCUCCUCCUAAACAAGUUUGCGCUCCUUGAGACCCCAACUCUUCCCUAGGCUGGAGACCCUCACCUUCCCUCCUUGGGUCACCCGGUCCACCGGACCCUUUUCUUUUGCAUGGCGCAUAGGAGAGAGAAAAGGUCUCACUCUGCUGCACAGGCUGGAGCACAGCAGUGUGAUGAUGGCCUACUACAAUCUCAAAUGUCUGGGCUCAAGCAAUCCUCCUGCCUCAGCCUUCCAAGUAGCUGGGAGUAUAGGUACGUACCACCAAGGCCAGCUAA